rnacentral:rRNA from 1 species
GACGAACGCUGGCGGCGUGCCUAAUACAUGCAAGUAGAACGCUGAAGAGAGGAGCUUACUCUUCUUGGAUGAGUUGCGAACGGGUGAGUAACGCGUAGGUAACCUGCCUUGUAGCGGGGGAUAACUAUUGGAAACGAUAGCUAAUACCGCAUAACAAUGGAUGACACAUGUCAUUUAUUUGAAAGGGGCAAUUGCUCCACUACAAGAUGGACCUGCGUUGUAUUAGCUAGUAGGUGAGGUAAUGGCUCAUCUAGGCGACGAUACAUAGCCGACCUGAGAGGGUGAUCGGCCACACUGGGACUGAGACACGGCCCAGACUCCUACGGGAGGCAGCAGUAGGGAAUCUUCGGCAAUGGGGGCAACCCUGACCGAGCAACGCCGCGUGAGUGAAGAAGGUUUUCGGAUCGUAAAGCUCUGUUGUAGGUCAAGAACGGGUGUGAGAGUGGAAAGUUCACACUGUGACGGUAGCUUACCAGAAAGGGACGGCUAACUACGUG